rnacentral:lncRNA from 1 species
UGGAAAAGGCGAGAAUCAAAGCAAGCACACACACCUGAGAUUAGACCUACAGUUCAAGACACACAGCUUUGAAUAAUCAGAAGCUGGAUUUUGGCCAGGGGGGACAUAGCUCCCAGACCUUAAGGAUAAUGGACUAUAACCUGGAGAAUUUAUUUAUCAAAGGAGACAUCAAAUAAAAGACUUUUGCAGCCUGUUGGAAAGAACCAUGCCAGGAUGUGAAGAAGACAGCAUCUGUUGUAGACAGCUGUGCCAAGACCCCAAACCAAGCCUGCAUUCCCAAUCUUGUGUCUCCACAUUUAGACCUUUCCUAUGCUUAAACUGUAAUACCUACUUUAUAACUGUUCUAUUUAAAGUUUCAAAAUACUAUCAUACUUAAAGAAAGAGACUGAUUUGGAACAGACUGGUCUUGAAGGUCAGGUAUUUAUUGGGUGGCUCAUUAAUGGAACUCCAUAGUUACAUGGAACAAGUCUCUGGCCUUGGCUACUGCCUGGAUGGCUAAAACACUGCACCCUGAGUUUCCCUUAGAUGCAAGGAAGGAUUCACACUGAGCUAACACCUGUUGUCAAUCUCCCUCUCUUUAAGGCCAGAUGGGCUCAUUCAACAUUUCACUGGUGUGACCACUGAGAAGCAAGCUAUAGUUGUUCCUCCUUUGGGGCUAGAGGAUGUCAUAGCACAUACAGAAGCCCUUAACAGUAGUCAUGCAGGAAUAGCCUUAUUAGAUACUGAAAUGGCUUUAAUGAGAAAGGUUGUCCUUCAAAAUAGAAUGGCUUUAGAUAUUCUUACAGCAUCCAUGGUGGUGCACAUAAGUCGUUCAAACUAAAUAUUGUUUUUAUACCUCAGGAAUCUUCCAAUAUGUCGUCUCUGCUAAAGCACAUAAAAAAAAGCAGGUGAAUGCCUUAAGCAAUCUUAUACCUUGUUUUGAUUUGUUUGGUUGGCUCCCUUCCAGUAUUGGUUUCCAUUUGCUACCUGGAUUGCAAUUCCUAUUUCUACUAUUCCUUGGAAUUCUUGUAUUAGUCAUAAUAUUCAAACUAAUUACUGUUUCCUCAGUGUUGUAUGACUGGCAUGCAAGCUAGAGUAAUGAUUUCUCAGCAACUUGAGAUGGUUGAUGAAUCCUACAACCCUGAGCAAAUCUCCUUUUAUUAAGACUAAGCCUAAGAAUUGAUGUUUAAGCUAAUCAUUUCAAGUAUUGGAUUACCUGUUCUAUGAUUGUUAUAAACAAUGUAACUAUAGAAAGUCAUGUAAAAACGCAUGUGUAACGUUUGUGCGAUAAUCUAAAAAUAAAGUUACAUAGUCUAUGAAACACUUCUCCUGUUAAUAUAUACCUCUAUACUUGUCCACUAUAUCUGACUAUUUCCCCCACUGUGGAUAACUGGGCAAAUCAGUCAAAUAAAAGCCUGGCACCAAGAUACAUGAUGGACCCAGGGCAGGCAGCAACCACUCUGGCACCAAGGGACAAUAUUUUGUUCAGCAAUGCUUUCUAUUGAAAGAAUAUUGAUCAAAAGGGGAAAAUGACAGGAGACUUUUACAUACUGAGGUACAUAGGGCAACUAUUCAAGUUCAAAAUUGAUACAGCGUGAACUAGAAAGCCUGACUUAUGGCCUAUCAAACAUACAUUGUACAUCUGCUUAUCCAUUAAAGUAAAGAAUGCACUUUGUGAGAUAAAGAAUGCAUACUUCCCUUCCUACACCCUAUUGGUAACACCCUGUUGGAAACACCCAGAUUAGUCUCUUUCCUGACAUCAUGGUCAUGUUAACCUGAUAAUUUGCAACUGAAUACCUCUUUGAAAAUGUAUUCAGCAUGUGUUUAAUGUACUUUCUUUGUUCUAAAAAGAUAUAUGACUGUCCUGAAACUGAUGCUUCUCUGGAAGAAAUUCUAAGGCCUUCCUGGGUUAUAAUCCUCACCCUGGCUCAUAAUAAACUCACCCCAAUUUUUGAUUUAUAGGUUGAUUAUGGAUUAUUUGCAUCAGCAAACUGAAUCAGAAAACUUGGAGUUAGGUCCCAAACAUGUAUAUUUUCAAAAUACCCUACAGUAGUACAACACGAAUGUUUGUAAGUUCAGAAUUAUUUACCCCGUUUUUUUUCUCUAUUACAAUUUCAACACUAUUAACAAAAUAAAAUGAAACAAUAAUUUAGAAAUUAAAGAAAAAUGUACCCAAAGAUUACUAUAAAGAAAGAAUUGCAUCACCAUUUUCCAUUAUGCUUGUGAUAUUUUUUGGAAUUAAAGAAAUGAUAUGCAACAAUCUUUCUAGUAACACAAACUCACUAAUUCAGAGGCAGUCAACCAAGACUACCUGGAAAAAUAUAAUGCAACUACACUUUUGAUAAUAUAAUUUAUUAGAGGCAGAUAAGAUGUAAAGUAGACAACAUAUAAAAGUAAACAUUUCUGACAUAACAUGAUAUACAUAUAUUCAAAAAAUUAUUUUAUUGUAAAACUGCACAUUGGAAAGACAUCAUGUCCAGGGAAAAUAGGUCUAGACCAUACAAAACUUAUGAGAUAUUAAUCAGAGCAUAAACUCCAAAUACUUAAAAAUUAGUAGCAUAGUUAAAUUUCUACUUGCAUUUUAAAUGAGCAUCAAAUAGUCAGUUUUCU